rnacentral:rRNA from 1 species
CCUACGGGACGCAGCAGUGAGGAAUAUUGGUCAAUGGCCGCAGGGCUGAACCAGCCAAGUCGCGUGAGGGAUGACGGUCCUAUGGAUUGUAAACCUCUUUUGUCAGGGAGCAAAGGGCGCCACGUGUGGCGUUUUGCGGGUAUCCGAAGAAAAAGCAUCGGCUAACUCCGUGCCAGCAGCCGCGGUAAUACGGAGGAUGCGAGCGUUAUCCGGAUUUAUUGGGUUUAAAGGGUGCGUAGGCGGUCCGUUAAGUCAGCGGUAAAAUUGCGGGGCUCAACCCCGUCGAGCCGUUGAAACUGGCAGAC